UACGGAGGGUGCAAGCGUUAUCCGGAUUCACUGGGUUUAAAGGGUGCGUAGGAGGGCAGGUAAGUCAGUGGUGAAAUCCCCGAGCUUAACUUGGGAACUGCCGUUGAUACUAUCUGUCUUGAAUGUUGUGGAGGUGAGCGGAAUAUGUCAUGUAGCGGUGAAAUGCUUAGAUAUGACGUAGAACACCAAUUGCGAAGGCAGCUCGCUACACAAUUAUUGACUCUGAGGCACGAAAGCGUGGGGAUCAAACAGG
rnacentral:rRNA from 1 species